AGAGUUUGAUCCUGGCUCAGAAUGAACGCUGGCGGCGUGCUUAACACAUGCAAGUCGAACGAGAAAGGGAUUGCUUGCAAUCCCGAGUAGAGUGGCGCACGGGUGAGUAACACGUAGAUAAUCUGCCUUCAAGCCUGGGAUAACUAUUCGAAAGGGUAGCUAAUACCGGAUAAAGUCGAUCUACACAAGUAGAUUGAUGAAAGAUUGCCUCUUCUUGAAAGCAAUUGUUUGGAGAUGAGUUUGCGUACCAUUAGCUUGUUGGUGGGGUAAAGGCCUACCAAGGCAACGAUGGUUAGCUGGUCUGAGAGGAUGAUCAGCCACACUGGAACUGGAACACGGUCCAGACUCCUACGGGAGGCAGCAGUGAGGAAUUUUGCGCAAUGGGGGCAACCCUGACGCAGCAACGCCGCGUGAGUGAAGAAGGCCUUUGGGUUGUAAAGCUCUGUCAACAGGGAAGAAGUUACAAUUGUUUAAUAGAUGGUUGUAUUGACGGUACCUGUGGAGGAAGCGCCGGCUAACUCCGUGCCAGCAGCCGCGGUAAUACGGGGGGCGCAAGCGUUAUUCGGAAUUAUUGGGCGUAAAGGGCGCGCAGGCGGUCUUGUCCGUCAGGUGUGAAAGCUCGGGGCUCAACCCCGGAAGUGCACUUGAAACAGCAAGACUUGAAUACGGGAGAGGAAAGCGGAAUUCCUGGUGUAGAGGUGAAAUUCGUAGAUAUCAGGAGGAACACCGAUGGCGAAGGCAGCUUUCUGGACCGAUAUUGACGCUGAGGCGCGAAGGCGUGGGUAGCAAACGGGAUUAGAUACCCUGGUAGUCG
rnacentral:rRNA from 1 species